CUUGUUAACUAGAUACAUUAAGUUUCCAUCAACAGUUGAAGAAAAACAGGCUGUAAAGGAAAAAUUUUAUCAAGAGUUCAGAUUCCCUGGGGUCAUAGGAGCCAUUGACGGAUCGCAUAUUAAAUUAAAGACUCCAUCCAAAGACAUUGAACAUGUAUAUGUUUGCCGAAAAGGAGGACACUCAAUAAAUGUGCAAGUGGUAUGUGACAUGGAUUUAAGAAUACUUGACUGUGAUGCUCAUUUCGGCGGAACUGCUCACGAUGCAUCAGUUUGGAGAGCAAGUGCUUUGAAUGUUUUUCUUGACAAUAUGUACUCCAAUGGAGAACGAAAUUUUUGGCUUUUAGGUGACAGUGGAUAUCCUCAAUUACCUUAUUUAAUGACUCCUAUUCCGGGAAACAAUCUCUCAGAUUCUGAACAUAAUUACAACAGACAUCACCGGAAAGCAAGAAACUGUGUAGAACGCUGCUUUGGAGUGCUGAAAUCUAGAUUUCGAUGCCUGUCAAAAGAUAGAGUGUAGAUAGAAAAUACCUAGCACCGUCAGCAAAAAUAACAAUAUAAAAUUUUUACAAAUUUUGUACAAAGUGUGAAAUGUGGGUUUAUACUAUGCUUGUUAUAUAAUGCGCUAGACUUUUAUAAAAAAAUAAACAUUAUAAACAAUAUAAAAACAGGCAAAACUGGUCAAAAUGCAACUAACUUAAUUAGCUGACCACGAGGGUACAUCCUUUAAUUUAAGCAUUUAUUAUUAUUAUUAUUUUUUAAAUAAUUCAAUUAACGCUUACUCAAAUU